rnacentral:rRNA from 1 species
UACAGAGGUCUCAAGCGUUGUUCGGAUUCAUUGGGCGUAAAGAGCUCGUAGGCGGCUUGUUGCGUCGACUGUGAAAACCUGCGGCUCAACCGUGUGGUCUGCAGUCGAUACGGGCAGGCUGGAGUUCGGUAGGGGAGACUGGAAUUCCUGGUGUAGCGGUGAAAUGCGCAGAUAUCGGGAGGAACACCGGUGGCGAAGGCGGCUACCUGGACCGGUUCUGACGCUGAUGCGCGAAAGCGUGGGUAGCAAACAGG